GGCCUGAUGGUGUAACGGUUACACGUCCUUCACUUAUGAACAUCGCGUAGUAUGACGCAGAGGAAAUUCCCUGUUCGACUCGGGGUCGGGCCU